UCAAGUAAUUAAGUGCAUGUGGUGGAUGCCUUGGCAGUCAGAGGCGAUGAAAGACGUGAUAGCCUGCGAAAAGCUCCGGGGAGGCGGCAAAUAUCCUUUGAUCCGGAGAUGUCUGAAUGGGGGAACCCACCUACUUUAAGGUAGGUAUUGCAACAUGAAUACAUAGUGUUGCAAGGCGAACGAGGGGAAGUGAAACAUCUCAGUACCCUUAGGAAAAGAAAUCAAUUGAGAUUCCCUCAGUAGCGGCGAGCGAACGGGGAUCAGCCCAUUAAGUUAUGUGUGUUUUAGUGGAACGCUCUGGGAAGUGCGAACGUAGAGGGUGAUAUUCCCGUACACGAAAGGGCACACAUAAUGAUGACGAGUAGGGCGAGGCACGUGAAACCUUGUCUGAAUAUGGGGGGACCAUCCUCCAAGGCUAAAUACUCCUGACUGACCGAUAGUGAACCAGUACCGUGAGGGAAAGGCGAAAAGAACCCCUGUGAGGGGAGUGAAAUAGAUCCUGAAACCGCAUGCAUACAAGCAGUGGGAGCACCUUCGUGGUGUGACUGCGUACCUUUUGUAUAAUGGGUCAGCGACUUAUAUUCAGUAGCGAGGUUAACCGUAUAGGGGAGCCGUAGAGAAAUCGAGUCUUAAUAGGGCGUUUAGUUGCUGGGUAUAGACCCGAAACCAGGCGAUCUAUCCAUGAGCAGGUUGAAGGUUGGGUAACACUAACUGGAGGACCGAACCCACUGUCGUUGAAAAGCCAGGGGAUGACUUGUGGAUAGGGGUGAAAGGCUAAUCAAGCCUGGUGAUAGCUGGUUCUCCCCGAAAGCUAUUUAGGUAGCGCCUCGGACGAAUACCAUAGGGGGUAGAGCACUGUUUCGGCUAGGGGGUCAUCCCGACUUACCAAACCGAUGCAAACUCCGAAUACCUAUGAGUACUAUCCGGGAGACAGACUGCGGGUGCUAACGUCCGUAGUCAAGAGGAAAACAAUCCAGACCGCCAGCUAAGGCCCCAAAAUCAUAGUUAAGUGGGAAACGAUGUGGGAAGGCAUAGACAGCUAGGAGGUUGGCUUAGAAGCAGCCACCCUUUAAAGAAAGCGUAAUAGCUCACUAGUCGAGUCGGCCUGCGCGGAAGAUGUAACGGGGCUAAAACUAUGUGCCGAAGCUGCGGAUGUAUACUUUGUAUACGUGGUAGGGGAGCGUUCUGUAAGCCGAUGAAGGUGUGUUGAGAAGCAUGCUGGAGGUAUCAGAAGUGCGAAUGCUGACGUGAGUAACGACAAAACGGGUGAAAAACCCGUUCGCCGAAAGACCAAGGGUUCCAGUCCAACGUUAAUCGGGGCUGGGUGAGUCGACCCCUAAGGCGAGGCCGAAAGGCGUAGUCGAUGGGAAAAUGGUUAAUAUUCCAUUACUUCUGUGUAAUGCGAUGAGAGGACGGAGAAGGCUAAAUCAGCCUGGCGUUGGUUGUCCAGGUGAAAGGAUGUAGGCAUGUAUCUUAGGCAAAUCCGGGGUACUCUAUGCUGAGAUCUGAUAGCAAGCUGUACUUGUACAGCGAAGUGGUUGAUGCCAUGCUUCCAGGAAAAGUCUCUAAGCUUCAGUUACACAGGAAUCGUACCCGAAACCGACACAGGUGGUCAGGUCGAGUAGACCAAGGCGCUUGAGAGAACUCUGCUGAAGGAACUAGGCAAAAUGGUACCGUAACUUCGGGAGAAGGUACGCUGUUGUUGGUGAUGGAACUCGCUUCCUGAGCUGACGACAGCCGCAGAAACCAGGCCGCUGCAACUGUUUAUUAAAAACAUAGCACUCUGCAAACACGAAAGUGGACGUAUAGGGUGUGAUGCCUGCCCGGUGCUGGAAGGUUAAUUGAUGGGGUUAGCGUAAGCGAAGCUCUUGAUCGAAGCCCCAGUAAACGGCGGCCGUAACUAUAACGGUCCUAAGGUAGCGAAAUUCCUUGUCGGGUAAGUUCCGACCUGCACGAAUGGCAUAAUGAUGGCGGCGCUGUCUCCAGCAGAGGCUCAGUGAAAUCGAAAUCGCUGUGAAGAUGCAGUGUACCCGCGGCUAGACGGAAAGACCCCGUGAACCUUUACUGCAGCUUGACACUGAACUUUGACCUUACUUGUGUAGGAUAGGUGGGAGGCUUUGAAGCUGGAACGCUAGUUCCAGUGGAGCCGUCCUUGAAAUACCACCCUGGUAAUGUUGAGGUUCUAACUCUGUCCCGUGAUCCGGGACGAGGACCGUGUCUGGUGGGUAGUUUGACUGGGGCGGUCUCCUCCUAAAGAGUAACGGAGGAGUACGAAGGUGCGCUCAGCGUGGUCGGAAAUCACGCGUAGAGUAUAAAGGCAAAAGCGCGCUUAACUGCGAGACCCACAAGUCGAGCAGGUACGAAAGUAGGUCUUAGUGAUCCGGUGGUUCUGUAUGGAAGGGCCAUCGCUCAACGGAUAAAAGGUACUCUGGGGAUAACAGGCUGAUACCGCCCAAGAGUUCAUAUCGACGGCGGUGUUUGGCACCUCGAUGUCGGCUCAUCUCAUCCUGGGGCUGAAGCAGGUCCCAAGGGUAUGGCUGUUCGCCAUUUAAAGAGGUACGCGAGCUGGGUUUAGAACGUCGUGAGACAGUUCGGUCCCUAUCUACCGUGGGCGCUGGAAAUUUGAGAGGAUCUGCUCCUAGUACGAGAGGACCAGAGUGGACGAACCUCUGGUGUACCGGUUGUGACGCCAGUCGCAUCGCCGGGUAGCUAUGUUCGGAAGGGAUAACCGCUGAAAGCAUCUAAGCGGGAAGCCUACCUCAAGAUAAGAUUUCCCUAGGACUUUAUGUCCUCUAAAGAGCCGUUCGAGACUAGGACGUUGAUAGGUUGGAUGUGGAAGCAUAGUGAUAUGUGAAGCUGACCAAUACUAAU
rnacentral:rRNA from 1 species